UACGUAGGGUGCGAGCGUUAAUCGGAAUUACUGGGCGUAAAGCGUGCGCAGGCGGUUUUGUAAGUCAGAUGUGAAAUCCCCGAGCUUAACUUGGGAACUGCGUUUGAAACUACAAGACUAGAGUGUGUCAGAGGGGGGUAGAAUUCCACGUGUAGCAGUGAAAUGCGUAGAGAUGUGGAGGAAUACCAAUGGCGAAGGCAGCCCCCUGGGAUAACACUGACGCUCAUGCACGAAAGCGUGGGGAGCGAACAGG
rnacentral:rRNA from 2 species